GUGAUGAGUCUCUGAAUCCAGGUCUUCAGGAGCAGCCUCCACCUCCUUCACCAGAUGAGAUUUUAUAAUGGACCUCCUUGGUUUUAUUUUGUUGGGGUAUCUGUAUGUCUCUGGAUCUGGACAUUUGUUUCCUUCCCCGGGGUUUCACUGAUGCCUUCCUCUCUUUUCCCAAGCCCA